CCUGACGGGGACAAACAACAACCUUUUGUUUGAGCAUUCACUUCAGUCUGGUUGAUGAAGUCUGACCACUGGGCCAGAGCGUGAUUUAACGGCUCAGAUUACCUGAUCGGUAAAUCUGACGGCUGUAGAGGAUCGUUCCUGCCUGGCUCACACCUGUGCAGGGCGGCCCAGUGGUUGUCUGACAGACA
rnacentral:snoRNA from 1 species